AUACUUACCUUCUCAAGGACGCAGUCGUUCAAGAUUCACUGUUUCCAGGGCAGGAGGCCUGCAUUGCACAGCGCGGAGCCGACUGUCCUUGAUUAUCCUUCGGGAUCGUCAUUGGGGGAAUUUUUGCUACCCAAACCACUCAUUUUCAUUGCGUCUGC
rnacentral:snRNA from 14 species